CCAAUUCCACUCCACACAAGUGUUUGCUGGUGCAUCCCCAGCCACGGACACAUUUGUUGGAUAGCCUUUUUGGAUGCCAGUUUACUUUGGUCAGCUGGUAUGGGUUGGUGCAGAUGCUGUUGAAGUCACUACAGGUCUGCUCUGUGUCUGUAUGCAUGGGUGGAAUUUCAGAGAAUGGAAGUAAACCUGCCAAAAGCACUUUCCAAUCUGAGUUAGUCAUUUUUGGAAGGGUGAAUAGAAGUUCCCUCCACACUCAGCAUCAUGGCACAAGCAUGAGUUCGUGCCUUGCUGCUACAUUUAAAUGGCUGCAAAGGUAAAUACGUCUGUUACUGCAUACAUCCAUAAUGCACAUAUGACAGCACGCAGUUGGAAAACACAAAGAGAGGUAACAACAAACAAGAAAAGACAUCUCCGAGCUCCUAAACCCAGGCACUCUGCUCCUCUUUGAUCUCCAUGGCUCAGGCUGUAGCUUUUCAGGACAUCUGUAGAUUAAAACUGCUUCUAAAAGUACUUCAGGAUCCACCAAGGAUUUAUUUUCUGGCAGACUGUUAUGUCGUUGCUACCAGAGAC
ensembl:lncRNA